CCUACGGGAGGCAGCAGUAGGGAAUCUUGCGCAAUGGGCGAAAGCCUGACGCAGCCAUGCCGCGUGAAUGAUGAAGGUCUUAGGAUUGUAAAAUUCUUUCACCGGGGAAGAUAAUGACGGUACCCGGAGAAGAAGCCCCGGCUAACUUCGUGCCAGCAGCCGCGGUAAUACGAAGGGGGGCUAGCGUUGCUCGGAAUUACUGGGCGUAAAGGGCGCGUAGGCGGAUAGUUUAGUCAGAGGUGAAAGCCCAGGGCUCAACCUUGGAACUGCCUUUGAUACUGGCUAUCUUGAGUUCGGGAGAGGUGAGUGGAAUGCCGAGUGUAGAGGUGAAAUUCGUAGAUAUUCGGCGGAACACCAGUGGCGAAGGCGACUCACUGGCCCGAUACUGACGCUGAGGCGCGAAAGCGUGGGGAGCAAACAGGAUUAGAUACCCUGGUAGUCCACGCUGUAAACGAUGAGUGCUAGUUGUCGGCAUGCAUGCAUGUCGGUGACGCAGCUAACGCAUUAAGCACUCCGCCUGGGGAGUACGGUCGCAAGAUUAAAACUCAAAGGAAUUGACGG
rnacentral:rRNA from 1 species